AGUGAACGCUGGCGGUAGGCCUAACACAUGCCAGUCGAACGGCAGCACAGUAAGAGCUUGCUCUUACGGGUGGCGAGUGGCGGACGGGUGAGGAAUACAUCGGAAUCUACUUUUUCGUGGGGGAUAACGUAGGGAAACUUACGCUAAUACCGCAUACGACCUACGGGUGAAAGCAGGGGAUCUUCGGACCUUGCGCGAUUGAAUGAGCCGAUGUCGGAUUAGCUAGUUGGCGGGGUAAAGGCCCACCAAGGCGACGAUCCGUAGCUGGUCUGAGGGGAUGAUCAGCCGCACUGGAACUGAGACACGGUCCAGACUCCUACGGGAGGCAGCAGUGGGGAAUAUUGGACAAUGGGCGCAAGCCUGAUCCAGCCAUACCGCGUGGGUGAAGAAGGCCUUCGGGUUGUAAAGCCCUUUUGUUGGGAAAGAAAAGCAGCAGGUUAAUACCCCGCUGUUCUGACGGUACCCAAAGAAUAAGCACCGGCUAACUUCGUG
rnacentral:rRNA from 1 species